AUUGAACGCUGGCGGCAGGCUUAACACAUGCAAGUCGAGCGGGGUGAUGGUGCUUGCACUAUCACUUAGCGGCGGACGGGUGAGUAAUGCUUAGGAAUCUGCCUAUUAGUGGGGGACAACAUCUCGAAAGGGAUGCUAAUACCGCAUACGUCCUACGGGAGAAAGCAGGGGAUCACUUGUGACCUUGCGCUAAUAGAUGAGCCUAAGUCGGAUUAGCUAGUUGGUGGGGUAAAGGCCUACCAAGGCGACGAUCUGUAGCGGGUCUGAGAGGAUGAUCCGCCACACUGGGACUAAGCAACGGCCCAGACUCCUACGGGAGGCAGCAGUGGGGAAUAUUGGACAAUGGGGGGGACCCUGAUCCAGCCAUGCCGCGUGUGUGAAGAAGGCCUUAUGGUUGUAAAGCACUUUAAGCGAGGAGGAGGCUCUUUUGGUUAAUACCCAAGAUGAGUGGACGUUACUCGCAGAAUAAGCACCGGCUAACUCUGUGCCAGCCGCCGCCGUAA
rnacentral:rRNA from 1 species